rnacentral:lncRNA from 1 species
CUUGGGAAGUGAGCACGCGCAGUGCGUUUAGGAAGUUGUACGCAUACCCAACUGAAGCUUUCUUCCCUUCUCCAGUGGAGUGCACCUGGCUAGAUUAUCUCCUAACUUUAAAACUUUGGAUGAAUAAUUAUAAAGCAGCAAAUUGGUGUUGCAAAGAGAAGACAUGAAAAGCAGAGUUUAGUAGAUAUUUUCUAUGAUUCACUCUUGAGAGAGAUAACAGAAACUGAAGUGAAGUAUCCUUGAUCUUGGAACUCCAUUCCUCCCCUGCUGAGUGAGAGGAGUCUCAGACUGUGGAAAAUAAAUGGCUGACAGAACAAGAUCAUAGAGUUUUCCUAUAUUCUGUAAGUUACUGACAAAAAGCAGGUUGAGUUAAAACUAAGUCCAUGUAACCCAGCAUGUUGAGAAAGAUCUUUGAGAAAGAGUCCUCAGAUUGUUCUUCAGCUUUGAGAGACUGAAUGGAUCAGACAAGGAUAACCAAAACCUAGACCUUGUUGCUUUAGAGGAGUCAGGAAUCAGCAAAAUAAUUUUGAAACAUAAUAAAC